CCUACGGGGGGCAGCAGUGAGGAAUAUUGGUCAAUGGCCGAGAGGCUGAACCAGCCAAGUCGCGUGAGGGAAGACGGCCCUACGGGUUGUAAACCUCUUUUGUCGGGGAGCAAAGCGAACCACGUGUGGUUCAUUGAGAGUACCCGAAGAAAAAGCAUCGGCUAACUCCGUGCCAGCAGCCGCGGUAAUACGGAGGAGGCGAGGGUUAUCCGGUUUUAUUGGGUUAAAAGGGUGCGCAGGCGGAGGUGCAAGUCGGCGGUCAAAUUGCGGGGCCCAACCCCGUACUGCCUUUGAAACUGCAUCCCUUGAGUGCACGAGAAGUAUGCGGAAUGCGUGGUGUAGCGGUGAAAUGCAUAG
rnacentral:rRNA from 1 species